rnacentral:lncRNA from 1 species
UGACACCAGUCCUAUUAUUUUUCUUUGAUGGUGGCUUAUUACUCACAGUUGGUGUAAAAUCUGAGCAGCAAUAUGUAACAAUUACUUAGGUAUUUACUCGCAUCAGAGACAGUGAAAAUCACUAUUGUGUGUUACCUGCCGCUGCACUGACUGCCGAUAUUAUAGGCCCAUAAGCACCCUGAAUAGGAAUACAACAUGUUCCUUUUCCAGCCCAGAAAAGAUGAACUUCGAGGUAAUUUUCUGUCACAUUUGCUUUAUAUUCUCUACGAACUGCCCUAUCAGUGAAGCCACCAGCUGUUCUGCGUACAUCAAAAUCCUUUUCCACAAGUCUUCCCUGUAAAAGAAUUUUCAUUAGAACCAAUGUCGCAGGAAGAUUAUCUACGGCUUGAUAAAAUGGUGCACACCUGGACAUAAAUGUCAAAUCUCCGUCUUCCAAACCCUGUCCAAGAGUUAGAACUUGUC